rnacentral:rRNA from 1 species
GAUGAACGCUGGCGGCGUGCCUAACACAUGCAAGUCGAGCGAGAUUUAUGUGAGUGGAGACUUCGGUCAAAGCGAACAUAAUGAAAGCGGCGGACGGGUGAGUAACGCGUGAGCAAUCUGCCCCAUACAAAGGGAUACCCACUGGAAACGGUGAUUAAUACCUUAUAAGACCACAGAGCCGCAUGGUUCGGGGGUCAAAGAUUUAUCGGUAUGGGAUGAGCUCGCGUCUGAUUAGUUAGUUGGUGAGGUAAUGGCUCACCAAGGCGACGAUCAGUAGGCGACCUGAGAGGGUGAACGGCAACACUGGAACUGGGACACGGUCCAGACUCCUACGGGAGGCAGCAGGGGGGAAUAUUGCACAAUGGGCGCAAGCCUGAUGCAGCAACGCCGCGUGAAUGAUGAAGGCCUUCGGGUCGUAAAGUUCUGUCCUAAAGGGAAGAAUACAGUGACGGUACCUUAGGAGGAAGCCCCGGCUAACUACGUGCCAGCCGCCGCGGUAACAC